GUGUAGCCAUCUUGACAUGCAGCACUCAUUGCACAGCACUCCAGACAGGAAGGCUCAGUACGAUAACGGGACAUACGCAAACCUGUGGUUGUACCGUUCCCCACCUCACCCCCUUGCCCUUUCUGUUUCCCAAGCAGUUGUGUUUCUUUUCAAUAAAUGGAUUUUUUGGCUU